UACGUAUGGGGCAAGCGUUAUCCGGAUUUACUGGGUGUAAAGGGAGCGUAGGCGGCAGGGCAAGCCUGAUGUGAAAGCCCGGGGCUCAACCCCGGGACUGCAUUGGGAACUGCCCCGCUCGAGUGCCGGAGGGGCAGGCGGAAUUCCUGGUGUAGCGGUGAAAUGCGUAGAUAUCAGGAGGAACACCGGUGGCGAAGGCGGCCUGCUGGACUGCAACUGACGUUGAGGCCCGAAAGCGUGGGGAGCAAACAGG
rnacentral:rRNA from 1 species